GACAGAGGGUGCAAACGUUGUUCGGAAUUACUGGGCGUAAAGCGCGUGUAGGCGGCUUGGCAAGUCGGGUGUGAAAGCCCUGGGCUCAACCUAGGAAGUGCACUCGAAACUGCUUGGCUGGAGUACCGGAGAGGGAAGCGGAAUUCUCGGUGUAGAGGUGAAAUUCGUAGAUAUCGAGAGGAACACCGGUGGCGAAGGCGGCUUCCUGGACGGUUACUGACGCUGAGACGCGAAAGCGUGGGGAGCAAACGGG
rnacentral:misc_RNA from 1 species